rnacentral:rRNA from 1 species
AUUGAACGCUGGCGGCGUGCCUAACACAUGCAAGUCGAGCGGAGCGGCGGACGGGCGAGUAAUGCCAAGGAAUAUGCCUGGUAGUGGGGGAUAAGGUCCGGAAAUGGGCGCUAAUAUCGCAUACUUGCAGAUGAGCCUAGGGCGGAUUGGCUGGUUGGUGGGGUAAAGGCCUACCAUGGCGACGUACCGUAACGGGUCUGAGAGGAUGAUCAGUCAAACUGGAACGGAGAAACGGCCCAGACUCCUACGGGAGGAAGCAGGGGGGAUUAUUCGACAAUGGGCGAAGGCCUGAUCCAGCAAUGCCGCGUGUGUGAAGAAGGUCUUCGGAUUGUAAAGCACUUUAAUCUGGGAGGCGGUACCAACAUAGUAAGCCCCGGCUAACUUCGUGCCAGCAGCCGCGGUAAUUC